UUACCAAAUCUUGACAUCCUUUGACAACUCUAGAGAUAGAGCCUUCCCCUUCGGGGGACAAAGUGACAGGUGGUGCAUGGUUGUCGUCAGCUCGUGUCGUGAGAUGUUGGGUUAAGUCCCGCAACGAGCGCAACCCUUAAGCUUAGUUGCCAGCAUUAAGUUGGGCACUCUAAGUUGACUGCCGGUGACAAACCGGAGGAAGGUGGGGAUGACGUCAAAUCAUCAUGCCCCUUAUGAUUUGGGCUACACACGUGCUACAAUGGACAAUACAAAGGGCAGCUAAACCGCGAGGUCAUGCAAAUCCCAUAAAGUUGUUCUCAGUUCGGAUUGUAGUCUGCAACUCGACUACAUGAAGCUGGAAUCGCUAGUAAUCGUA
rnacentral:rRNA from 1 species